rnacentral:rRNA from 1 species
AAUGUGCGAAAGCGCGAACCAGCAACGCCGCGUGUGCGAUGAAGGCCUUCGGGUCGUAAAGCACUUUUUGCAGGGAAGAGGAAGGACGGUACCUGCAGAAUAAGUCUCGGCUAACUACGUGCCAGCAGCCGCGGUAAAACGUAGGAGACGAGCGUUAUCCGGAUUCACUGGGCGUAAAGCGCGUGCAGGCGGCAUGGCAAGUCGGAGGUGAAAGCUCCCGGCUUAACUGGGAGAGGUCGUUCAAUACUGCCA